rnacentral:rRNA from 1 species
ACUCCUGCGGGAGGCAGCAGUGGGGAAUUUUGGACAAUGGGCGAAAGCCUGAUCCAGCAAUGCCGCGUGUGUGAAGAAGGCCUUCGGGUUGUAAAGCACUUUUGUCCGGAAAGAAAUCCUUGGCUCUAAUACAGUCGGGGGAUGACGGUACCGGAAGAAUAAGCACCGGCUAACUACGUGCCAGCAGCCGCGGUAAUACGUAGGGUGCGAGCGUUAAUCGGAAUUACUGGGCGUAAAGCGUGCGCAGGCGGUUUGCUAAGACCGAUGUGAAAUCCCCGGGCUCAACCUGGGAACUGCAUUGGUGACUGGCAGGCUAGAGUAUGGCAGAGGGGGGUAGAAUUCCACGUGUAGCAGUGAAAUGCGUAGAGAUGUGGAGGAAUACCGAUGGCGAAGGCAGCCCCUGGGCCAAUACUGACGCUCAUGCACGAAAGCGUGGGGAGCAAACAGGAUUAGAUACCCCGGUAGUCCCAUGA